ensembl:lncRNA
AAUUCUUCACAAGGAAUGUGACCAUUAUGUAUUGCAAACAUGUACCCACAGAAAAUUAAAAUUGGGGGGGGGGAAUAAAAGAAUUGAUACCUCAGGUGUUACUAUAGUGAAAAAACAUUUUGUAAGUGAUUUUUACCUCAAGCCUUUUGUAGGAGGAAAAAUGGUGACACAUGUUCUAAAAAAAUUAUUUUUCAGAAGAACUUCCAUGGUUUCUGAGUAUAUAUGGGCUGAGGCUUGUCUGGGUAGAGCUGGGAAGAACUGUUAGGAAGAACAUUGUAAAGUCUAAGCUAGACAGGGCCUCCCUUAAGGCCCCAGCACUCCAGGAGCCAACACAGCAAGGGACCAACAUGGAGAACAAUUGAGGCACAUUCAAUGGUAAGCAUUAUAAAAAGAAGAGGGACUACUUCCCCUAGAGAUAGAUAGCAGUGAUUGAUAUUCUAAAUGGGAAAUUCCUUGUAUGUGACUUAUUUUCCCAUUGGAUCCCCAUUUAAUCAAUAUUACCUGGGUGACUGUACUUGUAAUCUUAUCGGUUGUGGUUUUGUCCCACCUCAUACCCACCUUGUAAAUUUCCAUUAGGUCUUAGAGUUUUGUCCCACUUUGUACCUGCCUCACCACAUGGCUUUUGGUGUAUAAAACACCUUUGAAAUGUGGGGUGGGCAGGCAACCCAGUUUCUGGUCCCCCUUCUGUCUCUCUUAGACAGAAGCUUUCUUUCUCAAUAAAUUUUUCCUACUCUUAACCUCCGUUGUUCCUAGAAUUCAUUCUUCGAUUUUAGAAAACAUAAACUCGUGUUUUGGAUAUCUAGUAGGUUUGGGAGUUGCAUCUCUUCCCCCUAUAUCAAUAGAACUGUGAGGUGAGUCUGUUCUCAAGAUCUGCAUUUGGGGGUGAUCAAUGUCUAGAUGAUAUGUGAAGAGAAUGGUUGUCAAUAUGGAGCUUGAGGACCUCCAUCCUUAGAGGUGAUGGCAAGAAGGGCCAUCAAAAAGGAACUUGGAAGUAGACCAAGAGAGAGGAAGGUGCAGGAGGAAUGUGGAGUCACUGAAACCAAGGGAGAAAGAAAGCAGAAUAGAAAAAUGUGUGGAAAGCUGCUUUGGCAAUAUUGACACCACUGGCUUUGGCAAUAUUGAGGUCUUUGUUGACCUUGUAGUUAAGAUUUCAGUUAUCCGCCCUGUAAAAUUAUUCAGUUUUGUGAUGACUUCUCUCUUAAUGACUACAGCCAUUUCACAGCUUAGUGGUAUAAAUACUUCCAUCAACAUGUCAACAGAUGGUAUUACAUGGUCCUGGCAUACUCUGAAACAGACUUUUGUGGGAACAGUAGAAAUGCUACCAAAUUCAAGAUUCCUACCAGACUCAUCUACUUUUCUUCUGCUUUAAAGUAGCAUUGUCUAUACAACUUUUCCGUUCCCCCAAACCAAAAGAUGUCACAUCUUUUUGUGUCCAGUUUCUGUCUAUCUCAAUUUGCAUUUUAAAGUGCCUUGUAACUUUUUUGGUCCUAUACAGAUGUGCAGGUUUGGAGGAUGUUUCCUGGAAUAGUAACUAUAGCUGUGUAUACUACGGCUGCUGGAAAGAGUUGCUUCUUUCUGAAAUUCUGCUGUAUGGGCCUGUUGAACCUCAAAGCCACUGCCCACUAGGAAGGAAUGAUUAAUACAUUAAAUUAACUAAUUACAUAACUACCAGGUUUCCUUUAUAGAUUGUAAAAGAAGUCAGAAAAACAGGACGUGAAUUUUAUUUGGAUUUUAAAUUAUAAAAUUCCGGAGCCAGGG